UCAAUAAUCAAAUGGAAGUACGUAAAUUGCAAUAAAUGCCGACUAUUUAUCCAGGGGGGUUAAGGCCCGCCUAUAGAGAACCACCUCAAGACACUCAUAAUAACUGUAAUAUCGUGCAAUGGUAGAUAAAUAGUAUUUACAACGGUCCUUCGAUCGGGCACAUGAUAAUCAACGCCAUCGGAUAUAAUUGUUUACAAUGUUGUAUGGGGAUCGCAACCAUCUUAAUGUGAAAUUGGCCGUUUCCUCAGUCAUUGAAUCGUGUUGUUUACCAUCGUCGGCCCGUUUGGUACCACGUGAUUUUAUGGUAUUUGGAACAAAGAUGCACAGGACUGGACUAAAGUUAAAACAGAUUCAAAUGUAUCUAUUUCCCAUAGGAACAAAAUGAGUAAACUACCAAAAAAUGUGGGUUUUUCAAUCAAAAAUGGAACACUUACGAAAGCUGCUACGCGCCCCGAUUUAGAAGGAAAUAAAAGUUUGCCUAAAUCGGACGA